UUGAUCCAUGCUGCACUUCAAGCUCUCCUUCCAUUGUUGAAAGACAGUUAAGGGCGGCUCAGCAAAGCUGGGACAAAGACCCGGUGUGGCUGGCAAGGGCUGCAGAGGUGGGGCAACCCGGCCUUCUUGAGCUGCAACCUCUGGAGUUAGGGACCCCACUCGCCUUCUCCCCACGGCACCAGCUUCAGGUCCCUGAAUAUGCACGAGCAGCCAUGGGAGGCACCGGCAAGUAAGGCAGUACCCUGGAUUCAGGAAUUUCCUCCUCACCAGAUGUCUCACACAUUCUCACCAGACACAGGGAACCAGACAGGGGCCACCUGAGGAGGAGAGGGCUGCCCCUUGUCGCCAUGCUCAGACAUGGGACACCCUUGGGUGGCUGGGAUGCUGAAAAGACUAUAACACUUGCCCCACACACAUCCCAACAAGAGGCCACGGAAGGCCAGGGAGUGCCCAGCAGGCAGCCUUUGAUGGAGGGCUGCAGCAGGAAGAAACAGGGAGACAGAGGAACUCGGGUGACAGGAAGACCUUUGCAGCUGGGAACAGAGAAGCAUAAUUCAUCCUCCUCUCUCAAGCCCUUCUGAGAAUGGAUCAGCUGUGUCCGCUCUGCUCCACUCUGAGCGGGCUCAGUUAACCGACCCGGAAUGAAGAAGCAGCGACUUUUCCUGUUGCCCGCAACCAUGCAUCCUGCACACGCCCUCAGUGACUCGGAAGCAACAGGGCAGGUCCCAGCCAGGCAUAGCUCCUGCCUGGGGUGGACCCCGACUUCCCCAAGUGCCAGUAAAGAGCUGGCUGAGAAACCCUGAUUUCUUAUCUGCACACUUCUGAGAGCUAUUGUGAAGACUGAAUGGGAACAUGCACAGUCCACAGAUGCCACCCCCUGAGGGCUAAGCAAGGCUUCCUCUCGUGCAGGAUGUAUACUGGUCACUGGGCCAAGAGUCGAAGGAUCAGCGUGGUCAGAACUUUCUUGAAGUUCAGUGAGGUAGACAGACAUGAAAAAAUCCUGCAGUUGUGUAAAAGCCAUUCUGGGCAUCAGAUUAGGAAAUGGUACAUUCCCCGGUGAGAUAGAGAACAAACCCUGUUACAGGCUACAGGGAGAGUAUGGAGCAUACAUUGUGCGGCCCAUGGCAAGGGAGGCAAGAUGGGUAAGUGACUCAGAGAUGGCCUUGCCAGCCCUGAAACUACCACAGUGUGGAGGUCAAGGCUAAAUAAAUGGGAAACAUACAGACUUCAAGUCCUUACAGACAAGACAAGGCAGAUCCCGCGCAAAGAGCAUGAACACUGUGCUAAAGACAAAUCACACACACAGACAGCAAGAGGAAACACACUAAGGAAUUCCAAACAGAAAACAAAGUAUAUAUAAAAUAUACAACUGAUGCAUAACUUCAAGAAUUUGUUCUUUUAUAUAAGAUAUAAAUCAAUAACUAACAUAAAACAGAAACCAAUAGCUAACUCUUUUAAUAAAGACAAAACCCAGAUAUGCAAAGCUGAUAAUAAAGGAGAGAUCAUAAUCAUAAUAAAAAUCAUAAAAGAAAGGAUAACAAUGUGCUAACAGUUUUUAAAUCUCUACGAAGUAGAUGAUUGUUAAGGGAUGUAAAAGUUGGUUAAUUGACUUAAACAAUAAACAUCUUAGCAAACUAAAAAUGUUAAACACUGAAAACAGUGUGAGAGUAUUACUUCUGAAAUAAAUAUCAAUAGAUGGUG